ACGUUUUAGUGGUCUAUAUAAACCCUGUGGAUCCGAUCUUGUGUCGCUAUAAAAACCGCAAGGUGGGAUUGACAGGUUCAUAUAGAACACGAUAAGCAUCC
rnacentral:pre_miRNA from 1 species